rnacentral:rRNA from 1 species
CCUACGGGAGGCAGCAGUAGGGAAUAUUGCUCAAUGGGGGAAAGCCUGAAGCAGCAACGCCGCGUGGGGGAUGAAGGUUUUCGGAUUGGAAACUCCUUUUGUUAGAGAAGAUAAUGACGGUAUCUAACGAAUAAGCACCGGCUAACUACGUGCCAGCAGCCGCCGUACUACGGAGGGUGCAAGCGUUACUCGGAAUAAAUGGGCGUAAAGAGCGCGUAGGCGGGAUAGCAAGUCAGAUGUGAAAUCCUAGGGCCUAACCAUAGAACUGCAGUUGAAACUGUUAUUCUAGAGUAGGGGAGAGGUAGGUGGAAUUCUUGGUGUAGGGGUAAAAUCCGUAGAGAUCAAGAGGAAUACUCAUUGCGAAGGCGACCUGCUAGAACAUAACUGACGCUGAUGCGCGAAAGCGUGGGGAGCAAACAGGAUUAGAUACCCUUGUAGUC